AUUAUGUUAAACAACUUUUGCUAGUCGAUUUUAAGUGAAAACGAGUAUAUUGACAUAAUCGGCAAAAAUACCUAAUGUUCAUAAGUAAGUGUUAGAGUAAGAAUUUGAUGUUGUCAUAGAAGAGAAAAAUUUUCAGCAUGUUAUAAAACAUAAUAAUAAGGGAUGAAGUUUAAUUUCCGAGCUUUGGGGCAAAAGUGUAAAUAUGUAAAAGUUUAGGGGCAAAACUGUAAUUUUGCCAAAAUUGAGUCAAGGACUGUUUUGAUGAAUGUGAGUAUUAAAUAAGCUAAAUUUUCUAUUAUAGAUCAAGAAGAACGAAAUUUGGAGCUAGACCGGGGAA
rnacentral:lncRNA from 1 species